rnacentral:rRNA from 1 species
UACGGAGGGUGCAAGCGUUGUCCGGAUUUAUUGGGUUUAAAGGGUGCGUAGGCGGCUCUUUAAGUCAGUGGUGAAAUCCUACAGCUUAACUGUAGAACAGCCAUUGAUACUGAAGAGCUUGAGUACAGACGAGGUAGGCGGAAUUUACGGUGUAGCAGUGAAAUGCGUAGAUAUCGUAAGGAAGGCCGGUGGCGAAAGCGAGCCUCUGGACAGUUACUGACGCUGAUGCACGAAGGCCAGGGGAGCAAACGGG